GCCCGGCGGGGCCCGCUCGGGCGUCACGGCCGGGCGCGGGGGGCCUCGGCCAUCGGCGGCGCCCGGCCCCGGGGCGGUCGAGGGAGCUGGGGAAAAAAUGCGAAGAGCGACGAAAAAAGUCUCGAGAGUCCGAGCGCGGGCGGCUUUUCCCCCCGGCCGCCGCCUCCUUUUUGCUUCUCGUACCUGCCCGGGAGCGAGAAGAAGGCACGAUGAUACGGGGCCGGAGAGGGAUUGCCUCUCCAUGAAUCGCCGGCCGUGCCCCACCGCGCUCCGGCGUGAAGGGCAUUGGCAUUUGUGAUCACUGGACGCCGGACACUUACUUAUACCCGAUUUCCAGAGCGUGUCGGGGUGUUUCAACCAGGAGAGGAACACGUGUAAAAGUGUAAUAGUCAGAAACACUUCGCUUGACUAAACGGACCCUUAUCACC